UAAUGUGAAAAUGUUAUAUAACCUAUAUUGAGAUGAAAAAGUUCUUAAUGUGUCAUUCUAGGUUCCUCAGAUCAGCCUUUGAGCUUCUGGUUUCUUCAAAGCACCAUAACAUGGAUGGUCUUGAUGGUAAGGCAGCGUCUCAAGGUCAUGUGUUUGAAUCCUCAGGGAAUGCAUCCACUAAUAAAACCAGAUCAUUUCUAUCUUAGGCUACAGAUAUUCAUGUUUAAAUGCGUUCUGAUUUGUGAGUACAGGGAUGUUUUGUGGUGUUUUGCAGCCUCAUCUGUGACCACACGCGUGUUGAUUGGCCAUGAAUACCCCAUGCAAGCUGAACCCAGAGAAGCGGCAUCCCCUCCACUGUGUAGAUGCACAGCGAGGGCCAGGAUGUCACACGGGGAAACUCAACGCUGGAAACUUUCAGAACGACACACUUGUGUUCAAGCAGCAUGACAGUAAAAGAGCGGAGCGAGUCAGAGAGGUAAAUGCUGACGGCUGGAGAUUUCUCGUCUCUCUGCUUUAACUGGCUAAGGUCAGUAAUUUCUCUCUCACAGAUUUCUGUCUAUAUGAGAAACAGUCUGUAGAAGAAUAUUCGAACGACUCCCACUUAUUUUGCUGCAGGUCUUUUUUGUUGGUAUAAAAAUAUGCAUGAGAGGGAGAGAAAGAGAAAUGCUGACCAUUUUUCCCGGCCUCUCCAGUCGUCAAAAAACAGACGUGCGGAGGAACCCGACAGCCAUGAAAUAAAUUAAUGCAAUGUGCCA
ensembl:lncRNA